UUCAUCUCUGCCUGUCUUUCCAAGAGCAAAGUCGUUUAAAGGUAUCAGACUCAAUCUCUCCCAGAUCCAGGAAAUGACUGGAAAGGGGAGGCCUUGGCAGCAUUGGUGGAGAUUCUCUACAGAAGCAAAAUUUCCCCACAAAAGACAGCUUUGCAAGACCACUUCUGUUUGCUGGCCCUGUGGCAACUAUUUCAAAAUAUGUCAAAGUACAUAUUUUGGGGUAAAAUAUUUUUAUUUCCUUCACAGAGGAUUCUGCAUAAAUGUUUGUUGAAUGGAUAAACAAAACCACCACAGUGAUCUCUAAGAGUGUGCUCAUCUGCAUGUAAAAUAUCAGUUCAGGCUCCUGUGAACUCCCAAAGCAGCCCUCUCCUAUCUCUGUCCUUGCACUUGUUACAUUGGGUCUGUCAGCCACUCUCUGAGGAGUGCUUACUGUGUGCCCAGGAUUAUUAGAGGCACGCUGGGCUGAAUAAGACAGAUCAGAUCCCUGACAUCAGAGAGCUUAUAUUCUAGUGGGGAAAGACAGACCAUCAAUAAGAUACCACCAGAUAAUGAUAAAAGCUCUGAUAAAAAUAAAACAGAAUGCUGUGAUAAAGGGAGCUUAAACUUCUCAUCUUCCUUACUGUUAAAUCACUUCUUCAGUCAUUUUUUUACCUGUUUGCCAAGAAUCUCAGAAGGUCCAU
rnacentral:lncRNA from 1 species